GGAGGCUUAGCUCAGCUGGUUAGAGCGCAUGCUUCACACGCAUGAGGUCACAGGUUCGAGUCCUGUAGUCUCCACCA
rnacentral:tRNA from 4 species